rnacentral:lncRNA from 1 species
CAUGGGGCCACACACCCGCUCCUCAGUCCUUCUGAUGGAAAACGCCAGCCAAAGGGAAGGUUCGAGUGACUCUGGGACAGAGGGAAGAGGGAUAGGGACCCCCAGCCGGGGUCAGACCACCUCUCUAGCCCUGGAGGAGCCCAGCACUGUCCACUCCAAAGCCUCGUGAAGGAGGCCUCAGCCGGGAGCAAGGAGGCAGGUCUCCAACCCCAGGACCUGGAGGAGGAGAGAAGAGAGCGAACAGAGGGGGAAUGUUGCUGUUUACAGCAGCACCAGCUCCCAGAGUUUCUUAGAAGCAGAAGUGAUCUCGGUCAUCCUGUGGGCAGGGUGUGACCCCCGUUUGACAGUGCAGGAACCUGAGGUUCAGGUCGGUCCCCCGUCCAGGUCCCAGAGUUGGGAAACAGCAGAGCAGAAGCAGCCCGGGGACCUGUGCCACUCCCUCAUCUGCUGGGGACAGGGCAGCAUGAGGAGAGCAGGCAGGGGAACAGGCCCCCUGCAGCCAUUGAAGGGGCUACCCGGGGGGUGCUUUUGAGGCUUAAACCCAGCUUCCUCAGCUACUGCAGCCUGAUCACUCAAGAUCCUCCUUAGGGAAGGGGACCUGGUGGUCUGGGCUCUGCAUGUCCAGCAAGUGUGUCUCAGGCCUUGAGAGGAAGGGGUGGCGAGCCUCACACCCCACCCCCCAACCUCCCCGUCCCCUUUGGCUUCACCUGUGAGAAGUCAAUAUUGAGGUUUUAUGACCCAAGAUAAACACACAUUUUUUUUUUUCCUCCCAUAGAGGGGUUAUCUGGUCUGGAGGGUUAAUCAGUGACCACUGGGGGUGGGGGAAGCCUUCAGGAAGAAAGCAGCUAUUGAAUUCUGUCCCCUCGGCCCAGCCUCUCCCCUUCCCCCUCCUCCCACCCACAGUUCCCACCUCCCCCACCCCGCCAGCGGGUGGGGAUAAGACAUUUGGGAGUCUGAGCCUGGAGCCCGAAUGGGUGUGUUUGGGGGACUGUUGAGGGGGUGCAUCCAAGGAGAGCAUCCUAAGUGCAGUUUGCCGUGUGCACAGUUUUCACCACAACCACCAUUUCAUUUGGUUGGCAGGACAGGUGGGCCCAGCUUGGCCAGAGGUCUGGGAGAAAGAGGGAGCACUGUCCCUUGGGGCCAUACACAGAGGAGAUGAGACUCAGGUCACAAAGCACAUGAGAUGGGGGUUCCCAUCGUGGCUCAGCAGUAAGGAACCUGAUCAGUAUCCAUGAGGUUGUGGGUUUGAUCCGUGGCCUCCCUCAGUGGGUUAAGGAUCCGGUGUUGCCGUGAGCUGUGGUGUAAGUCACAGACUUGGCUUGGAUCUGGCAUUGCUGUGGCUGUGAUGUAGGCUGGCAGCUGUAGCUCUGAUUCGACCCCUAGCCUAGGAACUUCCACAUGCCAUAAGUGUGGCCCUAAAAAGCAAAAAGCCAAAAACAAACAAAAAAACAACCCAUGAGAUGACCCAAGGUAAAUGUCAGCUGCUUCCCAGGCAGGGGCAUUGGAACCCAAGGCAUGGGCCAGCCCUGCCCCUCGCCCGCUGUGUGGCCUUUGGACGAUGGCUUAACACCUUUGGGCCUUACCUCUCCUUGCGGGGGACGGGGGGCGGGAGGGGGGUGUCUGAUGAGAUCUUGUGCUUAGAGUGAGGAAGGGACAAAGUGACUAUUUACCAUUCAAAUGGAUUAUAGCCACCUCUGCCUUCUUCAGAAAGGACAUAAUUCACCUCUGGGUUGAUGGACUUUUUUUUUUUUUGGUCUUUUGAGGGCCGCACCCAUGGCAUAUGGAGGUUCCCGGGCUAGGGGUCUAAUCAGAUCUGUAGCCGCCGGCCUAUACCAGAGCCACAGCAACGCGGGAUCGAGUCUCAUCUGUGACCUAUACUGCAGCUCAAGGCAACGCCAGAUCCUUAACACACUGAGCAAGGUCAGGGAUCGAACCUGCAACCUCAUGGUUCCUAAUCAGAUUCGUUAACCACUGAGCCACAAUGGGAACUCUGAUGGCCCUUUUACUUAGGGGAACAGUGAUGGGUCUUUGGGGUUUAGGAGUGAGCACACCCUGGAGGAGUGAGGCUGAGCUGAAGCAGGAGGGGGAAUUGUGACGCUGUGAGGGCCGUGCCCGGGAAUAGGUGAGAACUUAGUGAGGUCCGGGGGCAUCAGGAGAGAAGACUUGAAAAGUUCCACGUGAGGCAGGCAGAGGAGAGACCAACAGAGGAAGAGGGCCAAGGGGAAGUUCCCUGGGUGGGGCAGGACCCACACAUUCUAAACAACUAGUAUAUGACAAUGAAGUCAUUUUGUCCCCUAUGCUCAGAUCGCUAUCCACGAGUCCUGAAAGCAACUAAACAUCUGCCACACACGUGAGCCUUGGGUUCUUGGUACAUAGGGAGGGAGGGAGGAGUCUGGCAUCAGCUUAACAAGAGGCAGUUUGGAAAGGGGACGCCAGGCACAGGGCUGAGGACCGCAACGGGAAGCACAGACCUCAUGGUGGGUCAGGAGGAACGAACGGCCCACCUAAGAAAGCCCUCGGGAAUACUGGGCACAAGAGGUGACUCCACAAGGCUGGAGAGCUAGGGGUGCCUGGGUUACAUCCCCAAAGAGAUAUAUAUAUCCCUGGCCACACCAGUAGCAUAUGUAAGUUCCCAGGACAGGGAAUCAAACCUGCACUACAGCAGCCAUCUGAGCCACAGCAGUGACAACACAGGAUCCUUAACUGCUACGCCAUCAGGGAACUCCAGAAGAUGCCAUUUAAACAGGAUCAUGCCACAGAGGUCUGCCAUGUUGGGAUUGGCAAUGGUCUGGGAAAACCGAGGUUGAAUGCAUAUAGUCACUGACCCGGUACAGGGCACUUGGCUGGGCCUACGGCUGAUGAUGAGGCCCCUGCCCCUCCAAGAGGUUUCUCAAGAGGAUUCAGGCUGUGGCAGAGAUGACUAAUGGUCCCCUACAUCACUCCCUCCCUUCCUCUCUCAUCGUGAUAGAACCCCUGGGUUUUCAACUGGGCACAUGGCAGCCCAGAAUAAAGCUGCAUUUCACAGCCGCCCUUGUCACCAAGUGUGGCCAUGUGACCAGCAGGACAUGAACAGGAGUGGUGUGUCCAGCUUCUGAAUUGCAUACUCCCUCUUAUUCACUGGGAUGAAGAAUCAGGGGUGAACCAUGUUGGACCAUCUGGAUGGGGACACCUUCCUGGGAUGGGGAAGCGACAAGGCAAAAGAAGCUCAGAAUCCUGAUGAUGUCACAGAGCAGAAUCAUCAGACCAGCUUGGAUUCUCUCGUGAGAGAAAAAUAAACUUCCAUCUUGUUUAAGCUACUGUUAGGUUUGGUCUCCCAGUUAGAGCUACCAGAAUCUUUUCCAGAUUUGAUUUAGACCACCUGGAAGUAAAGACUGUCCAUUUAUCAUACUCACAUACUCGGCCUGGACUUCACAGCCAGGUGGGGGGAUGCAGAUGUGCAGACUGGGAAGUUGGUGACCCUGGGAGCUCCUAUUGUGGCUCCUGUCGCUCCUGUGGUAAUGAACCCGAGUGGUAUCCAUGGGGAUGUGGGUUUGAUCCCUGGCCUGGCUCAGUGAAUUAAGGAUCCAGGGUUGCCGUGAGGUUCCCUGUGGGUCACAGAUGCGGCUCGGAUCCCACGUUGAUGGAGCUGUGGCGUAGGCCGGCAGCCAUAGCUCCCAUUAGACACCCAGCCUGGAAACUUCCAUGUGACACAAGUGCAGCCCAAAAAAGAAAAAAAAGUUGGUGACUCUUGUUAUGCUCUUGCAGAAGAUUUAGUGAAACGGUGAUCUGUGAUGAUACCUUGACAGGAAGACCCCAUGCUCUCUGAGCCUAUAAUUCUAGGAGAACUUGAGAACUGGAGAGACCUGACUGCUUCUUGGUGCCUUCAGCAUGUUCCUAGAAAAGAGAGAACUCAGGGGAGACCGGGCCAGUCUGCAAGCAGAGAUGGAAGGGAAUCGAGUUUUGCCAGGGGACCCCUGUGCCUGCUGCCUGCAAUCUAAGCGUCUGAAAAUUUGGAUCUUGAAGAGUUGUAAACACCAAUGGCUUCCAUACCCACAAUGGAGGGAGUGGCCUAAGUUGGCUCUGAACAGACAGCCUUAGUAGGAGUUGACUGUGGCCCGGAGCCUUUCUCAAGCUUUCCCCGUUGAGAAUUCUCUGCCAGACGAUGGGAGCCAGCCCAGCAGCCAGGAUCAGAUUAAGGGUGUUCCCUUUCCAGCCUAGCCUGUUGUCUCAGAUGGCCUGAAGAGAACAACCACUAAGCUGAAAGAGGGGUCUGGGCAGAGCGCAUAAGCCAGUAAAAACACUGCCAGUUUUGAACCUGACAAACCGUCAGGACAAGACCUUUGGCUGAGUUAGCUGUGCAUGGAACUGACUAGAAGCAAGUAGUCCUGAAGCCUGAGAGAGGCAUGUUCUUCAGUGCCCUGAUGUGGUCGUGGAGGCUACUCACCAGAAAGAGCCUCCCAGAGGGCAAAGCCAGGAGCCAAGAAUGGAUCUGGCAGCUUGGAUCUGGUAUUGCUAUGGCUGCAGUGUAGGCCGGCAGCUACAGCUGCAAUUCAGCCCCUAGCCUGGGAACCUCCACAUGCCUGGGGUGUGGCCCUAAAAAAACAAAAGACAGAAAAAAAAAAAAGAAGAAAAAAAGAAUUGUUUUCAGAAUGUGGUAUGUGGUUCUUGUUCCAUCAUUGUGUGUUGGAGAAGGGUGGGUGUGGGGUGCAGGACAGAUAACCUGUCUUUUAGGUGUGUUGGUCUCUAGGCCACAGGAAUCUUCAUCCAGAUGUGACUGAGAUGUUGGGUACAGGAUGGCUGGUGUUUAAGGUUGUUAGUCUUGGAAGGCAGUGUUAGUGUCAGUGUUUUAUAGUGAUUGUAGCGAGUUAAGCUGGCUCCAGGGUGGACCGUGGCAGAGAUUGCUAAUUUGCCUACGAUCCAUUUUUCCCUUGCUUCUCUAGUAAACUAACACCUGACAUAUAUAUAGUGAGACAAGUGGCCACCCAGGAUAAAACUGCAUUUUCCUGACCCCUUCGAAGUCGUAUGUGGCUGUAACUAAGUUCUGGCCAGUGGCAUGUGAGGAAAGGGAUGGUACAAGUUCUGGAUCAUACCAUAGAAAGGCUCCCGUCCUCUCUCCCUGACCUGAUGGCUGGAAGGUAGAUGUAGUGGAGAGACUUGUUGGUCCACGCGUGUGAAUGCAAACUCUUAAGAUGGUGGAGCAACAAGAUAGAAGAAGCCUGGGUUCCACCGCUGCAGAGCUGAGCUAGCAUGCCAGUUGGGGCUUUUAAGUGAACAGAAAUAAACUUGCUCAAAUCUUUGGUAUGUGGGGGUUUUGUUUGUUUUUGUUAUAGCAUCUGAGCCUCUAACCUAAGUAAUACAGAUACACCUCAGUUACUGCAAUACAAUGGAAUAAAUGCUCUGGUAGACAUAUGGGUAAGGUGCUAUGGGUGUGAAGUGAUAAGUGGUUAAUUCUGUUUGGGGGAAAUCUUGGAAGGCUCCCAGGAGGAGGUGAUAUUUGAAAAACAUCUUCAAGAUGUUUUCCAGAUGCACAAGUAAGGUGAAAGGGAAGACAUGCUUGACAGUUGGACGGUAAAAACAAAGUCUCAAAGUGGUGAAAACACUUGACAAAUAGCUCAGAUGCGUAAAGGGGGAGGCAGUUCUGGGAGACAGAACUGGUGACAUUGGAUGGGACUGGUUGGGAAGGACCUUAAAUGUCACGCUAUACAGUUUAGACUUCAUCGUUUGGAACCACUGAGGGGUUUAGCAGGCAAGUAACAUGACCUAAUUUGGGGGUUUUUUAAUUUUUUUUUUUUUUAAAGUCUGGCUACAAAGUUUUAGAUGGAUUUGAGAAGAGAGAGGUUGUAGGCAGAGGGAAGGGACUAUUUAAAUGUAAUGCAAGUCAAUUCUGAUUUUCCCACAGAAACAAUGUUGUAAUAGAGGUUUAUGCUCCUGGCCAUGGACCUGAUACACCAAAUUUUAUAGAACUGACCGCAAAACCAAACUCAAAUAGCUAUAAUGGUAUACUCAUGAUCUCUAUAUUAUAAAGUUUCCAAAUAGUAUAUGAAUAAUUAAACGGGGCCCCAUAGUAACUAACCACAAAAAGAUAUGUGUAUAAUAUAAUACAAUGAAUUUAGCCUCCUAUUUCUGCCCUUUAAGAAAUGUAUUGUCGCAAAAGUAAUCUGUUUAUUUUUAAUAGCUUUAUUGAAAUAUAAUUGGCCUAUAGUGAACUGCACAAAAGUCUACAAUGUGAUAAUUUUUGACAUAUUUAUACACCCUCAAAACCAUCACCACAAACAAGAAAAUGAACAUUUCCAUCAUCAUAAAAGUUUCCUCCUGUACAAUUCCUUUCUCCCACCCCUUCUCCAUCUACCCAUCCCCAGACAUUCACUGAUCUGAUUUUUUGAAUGUUCUAGAAUUUUAUGUAAAUAGAAUCAUAACAUGUACUGUUUUCAGUCUGACUUCUUUUUCUCAGAGGAAUUAUUUUUGAGAUGCAUCCAUGCUGCAGCAUGUAUGAACAGCUGAUUCCUUUUUAAUGCUGAGUAAUAUUCCAUUGUACAGACAUACCAGUUUGUAUAUCCAUUCACCUGUUGAUGGAUCUUUGGAUUGUUUCCAGUAUUUGGUUAUUACAAAUAAAGCUGCUAUGUGCAUUCAUGAAUAGGUCUUUGUAGGAACAUAUGCUUGCAUUUCUCUGGGUAAAUACCUUGGAGUAGAAUGGCUGGAUCGCAUGAUAGGUGGAUGUUUAACUUUUUAAGAAACUGCCAAAAAGUUUUCCAAAGUGGUUGGUGGUUGUACCAUUUUACAUUUUCACCAACUCUGUAUGUAAGAUCCAGUUCCUCCCUAUCCUUGCCAGAACUUGAUAGGUCAGCCUUUUUAUUUUAGCCAUGCUAAUAGGUUUUUAGUGGUAUCUCAACUCUUUUAUGCUAUUGAUUAGAUUUUUUCCUACUAUUAUGUUUUGAGAGUUCUUGAUAUAUUCUGGAUCCAAGUCCUUUAUGAGAUACAUGAUUUGCAAAUACUUUGUCCAAGUCUGUAGUUCCUCUUUUCAUUCUCUUAAUAGCAUCUGAUAAAAAGCAUCUUUUAUGGGUCAUGUUUUUGGUGCUUUAUCUAGGAAAUUUUUGCCUACCCCGUGGUCACAAAGGUUUUCUUCUAGAUGUUUUCCUGUUUCAGUUUUACAUUUAAAUCUAUAGUCCAUUUGAGUUACGUUUUGUAUAUGGUGCAAAGUACAGAGAGAGGGUUACCUUUUUUGCUCAUUGGUGUGUAAUUGUUCCAGCAGCAGUUAUUAAAAACUCCAUCUUUUUUGCUCUGCAUUGUCCUUGUGCCUUUGUGGAAAAUCACUUGUCCAUAUAAGUAUAGGAUAAUACUUAUAGGUCAAUUUCAUCUCAACAAAGCUAUUUUUAAGAAAAGUAUAGGGUCUACUUCUGGCCUCUUGAUUCUGCUCCAUUGAUGCCUAUCUUUAUGCCAACAUCACACUGUCUUGAUUUACUUGAGCCUUGAAAUACAUUUUGAAAUCAAGUAAUGUUUUCCAACUUUGUUCUUCAAAUUUGCAUUGAUGGGGAGUUCCUGUUGUGGCUCAGCAGUAAUGAACCUGACUGGUAACCAUGAGGAUGUGGGUUUGAUCCCUGACAUGACUCAGAGGGUUAAGGAUCCAACAUUGCCAUGAGCUGUGGUGUAGGUCGAACACAAGGCUUAGAUCCCUUGUUGCUGUGGCUGUGAUUUGACCCCUAGCCUGGGAACUUCCAUGUGCCACGAGUGCAGCUAUAAAAAAAAAAAAAAAUUGUUUUGGUGAUUCUAGAUCCUUGGCACUUCCCUGUGAAUGUAAGAAUCCAUUUUCAAACUUCUUCCUACUUUUCUAUACUGAAAUCAUGAAGAAGAAAGUAAAUAUUACAAUAAUCUUACCACUUAGAAAUUAUCCCUGAUAAUAUUUUCAUUGUAUGCUUCUAGACCUUUUCUAUAAUUUAAAACAUUUUCUUUAUUAAAUGUUUAAGUAGCAUUAUGUGUUAAGCACUGUAUGUCUUUUUAACAUUAGGCUUAUCGAAACAUAGUUUAUGUAUGUUAAAAUUCACUUUUCAAGUGUAUAGUUUGAUGAGUUUUGACAAACAUACGGAGGCAUGCCACCAUCACGGCCAAGAUGUAAAAUAUUUUUGGGAACUUCCCUGAUACCCUCGCAGUUAAAGAUUUGCAUUGUCACUGCUGUGGCUCCAGUUCAAUCCCUGGCCUGGAAACUUCCACAGCUAUGG